GUCCACUCAAUCGUCCCGCAGUCUCGUCAUGAAAGCCAGCAUAAGUUUGGCUGCAGCAAAGGGUGAACCAGCUUAUAAAGAAGCAAGUUUGUUUUACAACACUUGCACCAGGUGAGCACUACCAGGAAAGAAUGGCCAAUCCUGAAACCAGAGACCUGCAGACCACGAGAGAUGCAAGCUUUGACGACUGAUAUCACCUGCCAGUGUGGAUGUUAGAGGACAAGGAACACCAGCGAGCAAAGAAAAAUAUAUCAGGAGGCCUCCAUUUUUCAAUAUUUGUUAGCAAGGAGUGAGGCGUAACAUUUAUUUGAGAAAGUCUGGUCAGUAUAU